AUUGAACGCUGGCGGCAGGCCUAACACAUGCAAGUCGAACGCGUGGCGGACGGGUGAGUAAUGUCUGGGACACUGCCUGAUGGAGGGGGAUAACUACUGGAAACGGUCGAUAAUCCCGCAUACCAUCGGAUGUGCCCAGAUGGGAUUAGCUAGUAGGUGGGGUAACGGCUCACCUAGGCGACGAGCUCUAGCUGGUCUGAGAGGAGGACCAGCCACACUGGAACGGAGAAACGGGCCAGACUCCGACGGGAGGCAGCAGUGGGGAAUAUUGCACAAUGGGCGCAAGCCUGAUGCAGCCAUGCCGCGUGUAUGAAGAAGGCCUUCGGGUUGUAAAGUACUUUAAGCGGGGAGGCGUUACCGGCAGAAGAAGCACCGGCUAACUCCGUGCCAGCAGCCGCGGUAAUUC
rnacentral:rRNA from 1 species